GGGCACUCGGCCACUCAACCGGUCUCAAAAAUGGGGUUUCGCUGCUGCUGGGCAUCUCCAAACGGCACAUUUCCACUCCAGUCAGCAGUUUUGGUGAUCGUGAAGAGACCCAGAGCAGAUUUCUCUCCUUUGCCUGACCUCUACCAGGAUCUGGAGCCUUGGUGCCAGCAAGGACCCCUUGUGCCCGUCCAUAUCCUCAGUGAGUCAAGAUGGCUGGGAAGAAGAUCUGUGGUGUGGCUUCACUCUCCCAUCCUUAUCCCAUUUAUUUGACAUCGAAGCCUGCAGCAGUCAGAACUGGGCCACACACAGUGUAUAUUUGGAAGCACCUGACGUCCUUCCAGGACUGCAUCCUCCUCCAUUAAUAUAUCAGUUGGAUCCAUGCUCCCUACACCGGUGAGGAUGUGGGUUUUUUUUUUCUGCAAGAUCAGAGACCCAGCGUCUUCAUUUUGCACUUUAUAAAACCGCAGUUAGGAAACUAAAUUCCACAUGAGGAGGAAAGAUGUUAAGAUCGCUUCUGAUCACAUGAGAAUGCAGCAGACGUUCAGCAUGAGAGAAAACUGGAAGGAGGAGGCUGGGCUCAAGCCUCAUUCAGCACAGAUCCAAAGCAGCAGCAGCCACAGGUCUGGGCCAGAGGAGAGAUGGGUUGUCAGGCCCCAAACAGAACCCAAGUCCUGUGUGGGUGAGUGGUGAAGGGUACCAUCUGCUUAUAAAGUGUACGUUUUGUGAUCCGUACAAGUUGCUAAAUUUAAGAAAAAUGACUGCAGCAGUGAAGCAGAAAUUCACUAUAAGUAUUAAUAGGCAGCGGUUGUUGUUACUAUCUUGUUCUCCUUUGUACUGACACUCUGCCCCUCCCUUCUCCCAAAAGUGUGCCUAGAAAGGUACGGGAUGCUGCAGAACAUCCCAGGGCAGAAUUCAGGCCCCACCGCUGGCCUGAACUUUACCUGUACACAGGGCAAGUCCUAAAAGAAUAAGAGACCUACGUGAAACAGGAAAGAAGUAAUAGCAACAUCAACAAUGGCACCACGAUAACCCACCUCAAUGAGCGAUUGUCCACCAGGAGUCAGGAACCAUGUUAUGUGUUUUACAGACUUUGUUUCAUAUAAGUCUACCCAAUGAUACAGACAGAACAUGGAAGAAAAAAAAGGCUACAUGUACAAAAUCAUACAACUAGAAAAUGCCAGACUUAGAAUUUUUCCCAAAGUAUUUUGCUGAAACACAAAUAUAUUGACUUUUCAUUUGACCUUCAAAAGAUA